rnacentral:lncRNA from 1 species
AUCUCGAUACAGCUGCUGCGGAGGUGUCCUUGGAUCCCCCGGGUGUCAGGUCGCCAAGCUUCAUGUUCAUAACCAAAAAGAAAACCUAGAGGGCUUUGUGAAGACUUUUGUCAAGGUUGCACCUCCUGAUGGCAGUCACGGUGUGUUUGCAGUAAAUUGUGAGAUGUGCUAUACAGCCAAAGGCUUGGAACUUACUAGAGUGACGGUGGUUGAUUCCAGCCUCCAGGUGGUCUAUGAUACAUUCGUGAAACCAGAUGAAGAAGUCAUUGACUACAACACUAGGUUUUCUGGUGUGGUGGAAGAUGAUUUGAAGAACACAACAACAUCAAUUCGUGAUGUCCAAGCUGUUUUGUUGAACCUGUUUAGUGCUGAUACUAUAAUAAUUGGACAUAGCUUUGCAUCUAGUCUGUAUGCUCUGAAGGUAAAUAAUUACAGGCCGACAUAUUUUUUUACAAAAAAUAUUUUUACAAAAUUAUGUGUGUUAAGAUAGU